ACUGCACCAGCUGCAAUGGUGAACAUAUUGUAGCAGCUAUAAGAAAAAGGGGAAGAGGUGUUGAAUAUGUUAAACACGCUGCAACAAUUACAAGAUGAAGGGAAAGGGGUAUUAAACAUAUUAAACAUAUUGCAGUAACUACAAGAGGAAGGGAAAGGAGUGUUGAACAUACUGCAGCAGAUGUAAGAGAAAGAAGAAGGAGUACUGAACAUGCUGCAAAAGCUACAAGAGGAAGGGGAAGGGGUAUUGAGCAUGUUGAAGAUAUUGCAGCAAAUGCAAGA
rnacentral:lncRNA from 1 species